rnacentral:misc_RNA from 1 species
GAUGAAGAACGUAGCGAAAUGCGAUAAGUAAUGUGAAUUGCAGAAUUCCGUGAAUCAUCGAAUCUUUGAACGCACAUUGCGUCCCCUGGCAUUCCGGGGGGCAUGCCUGUCCGAGCGUCAUUUCUGCCCUCCAGCCCGGCUGGGUGUUGGGCGCUGUCCCCCCGGGGACACGCCCCAAAGGCAGUGGCGGCGCCGCGUCGGGUCCUCGAGCGUAUGGGGCUUUGUCACCCGCUCGGGACGGACUCGUCCGCGCUGGUCUUCCUCCAGGCGACCCUUCGGGGCUCGUCUUCCUUCGGUUGACCUCGGAUCAGGUAGGGUUACCCGCUGAACUUAAGCAUAUCAAUAAGCGGAGGA